rnacentral:rRNA from 1 species
AAAAACAUGUCUUUUUGUUAAUAAUUUAAAGUCUAAUCUGCCCACUGAAUUAAUUUAAAGGGCUGCAGUAUAUUGACUGUACAAAGGUAGCAUAAUCAAUAGUCUUUUAAUUGAAGACUUGUAUGAAUGAUUUGAUGAGAUAUAAACUGUCUCUUUAUUAAAAAUAGAAUUUAAUUUUUUAGUCAAAAAGCUAAAAUUUAUAUAAAAGACGAGAAGACCCUAUAGAGUUUUAUAUUUUUUAUUUAUUUAAUUUUAUAUAAAUAUUUAAAUUAAAUUAAUAAAAAAUAUUUUGUUGGGGUGAUAGAAAAAUUAAAUAAACUUUUUUUAAAAAAUUUACAUUAAUUUAUGAAUAUAUGAUCCAUAAUUUAUGAUUAUAAGAAUAAAUUACCUUAGGGAUAACAGCGUAAUUUUUUUUUUUAGUUCAAAUAAAAAUUAAAGUUUGCGACCUCGAUGUUGGAUUAAGAUAAAAUUUAAAUGCAAAAGUUUAAAAUUUUGAUCUGUUCGAUCAUUAAAAUCUUACAUGAUCU